GAGACGCUGGCGGCGGCCUACACAUGCAAGUCGAGCGAGACCUUCGGGUCUAGCGGCGGACGGGUUAGUAACGCGUGGGAAUUUACCCUUCACUACGGAAUAGCCUCGGGAAACUGGGAGUAAUACCGUAUACGCCCUUUUGGGGAAAGAUUUAUCGGUGAAGGAUUAGCCCGCGUCUGAUUAGAUAGUUGGUGGGGUAAUGGCCUACCAAGUCUACGAUCAGUAGCUGGUUUGAGAGGAUGAUCAGCAACACUGGGACUGAGACACGGCCCAGACUCCUACGGGAGGCAGCAGUGGGGAAUCUUAGACAAUGGGCGCAAGCCUGAUCUAGCCAUGCCGCGUGAGUGACGAAGGCCUUAGGGUCGUAAAGCUCUUUCGCCAGAGAUGAUAAUGACAGUAUUUGGUAAAGAAACCCCGGCUAACUCCGUGCCAGCAGCCGCGGUAAUACGGAGGGGGUUAGCGUUGUUCGGAAUUACUGGGCGUAAAGCGCACGUAGGCGGAUUGGAAAGUAUGGGGUGAAAUCCCAGGGCUCAACCCUGGAACUGCCUUGUAAACUCCCAGUCUAGAGUUCGAGAGAGGUGAGUGGAAUUCCAAGUGUAGAGGUGAAAUUCGUAGAUAUUUGGAGGAACACCCAGUGGCGAAGGCGGCUCACUGGCUCGAUACUGGACGCUGAGGUGCGAAAGUGUGGGGAGCAAACAGGAUUAGAUACCCUGGUAGUCCACACCGUAAACGAUGAAUGCCAGACGUCAGGGGGCUUGCCCUUUGGUGUCACACCUAACGGAUUAAGCAUUCC
rnacentral:rRNA from 1 species